AAAGUACUCCCUCCGUCCCAAAAUUCUUGUCUUAGAUUUGUCAAGAUACGGAUGUAUCUAAUACUCAUUUUAGUAUUAGAUACAUCCGUAUCUAGACAAAUCUAAGACAAGAAAUUUGGGACAGAGGGAGUAGUUG
rfam:Triticum aestivum genome assembly, contig: Triticum_aestivum_CS42_TGACv1_scaffold_409237_5BL